rnacentral:rRNA from 1 species
UACGUAGGGUGCAAGCGUUAAUCGGAAUUACUGGGCGUAAAGCGUGCGCAGGCGGUUAUGCAAGACAGGUGUGAAAUCCCCGAGCUCAACUUGGGAACUGCACUUGUGACUGCAUAGCUAGAGUACGGUAGAGGGGAGUGGAAUUCCGCGUGUAGCAGUGAAAUGCGUAGAUAUGCGGAGGAACACCGAUGGCGAAGGCAGCUCCCUGGACCUGUACUGACGCUUAUGCACGAAAGCGUGGGGAGCAAACAGGAUUAGAAACCCCAGUAGUCC